UAGGCCAUUACUCCGUCAAGACACGCCUCCCUUCCCCUUUCCUUCUUCUUUCUUUCUUCUCCUUUCUUUUCCCUGUGCACUACCCUGGCCUGUUGCGCCUUUACCGACCACCCAUGCAAAUCCAGCCUGCCACCGCACCCAGUUGUUGCUGCUGCUGCUCCGUUUUGCCUCCGCCAGAGGCUGUAUCAGCCCAUCUCUGGCAGCAGCUGCUGCUGCGUUCUGUCUCCAGUAUACCGCGCCCUUCUCGUGUCACCAUUGUCUUUUAACCCCUUUUAAUUCACCUUGUGCACAUUUCGUUAGAGUAAGGUAGAACUUUAAUUGGGUGAUUUCUGGGACUUUUUGAUCGUGCAGUGACGCUUACAGUAAUUUGCAGGAAAAUUUAGCUCAGGUUUCGAUCCAGGCCGCAACUUUAAUUAUUCUAUCGAGGACUUAGUUGCAUUGAUUUUACUUGAUGACAUAGAUGACUAUAUUGUACUUAUGUUUUUUUAUUGUAUUUAAGCAAACCUUAUUCUAUAUUUUCUCAGUUGUAAGAUUUUUUUACUUUAACUUAUAUUUUGAACGGUUUUAGUUUAAAUGGGUUUUAGCAGUUCAGCGUUUUACACUUCCACAUUAUUUAUCUUAUGUAUAAUUAUUAAUGUUAAUUAUGUAUCGAGAAUGCCGCUUCUGCUACAGCUAGGCUUUAUCGUUGUCUAUAGUUUUGUUUAAUGACUCUAAUUGUUAUAAGUUCAUUGAUUACUGACGUGUAUGUGUUUGCUGUUGUUGUUCAUGGCUUCCUAUGAUGUUCCUGCUAUAAUACAUUUGACUAUGGUCAUCAUUUUGAGCAGCAGGAGGAUCAUAGCUUGGCAUGACAGGUAUAGAAGCUUCUUUUGCUUUGCAUUAGGGGAAAGAGCGAAGUACGAUCGUAGUGAUUGUGUACAAGUUACCUAAUACUUGUAGCUUUUACAUUACCUAUACAGCUAUCUUUUUGGGGUUGUAUAAUUCUUUCGUAUAGAGUGAUGUGACUCCUUGUAUGAUCUAUAGUUCAGCUGCGUAGUUUUAAAUUUAUGGCAAGGAGAAUACUCCUUUAGUAUCCGUCAAACCAAUGCGUUAAUACUGAAACCACGAUCCUCGUUGGAGUUGAUAAUUUGAGAAGCCGACGAUGAUUCAUUCCGACGUGAUAUAUUUUUGAAAUGCAUUAAAGCCUCAAAUUAGUUUAGUUAUGUUAUUCAUUUAUAUAUCCUUGUCACAUCCUCAGUUUUUAAUUGAGAUGCUGCCAAAAUUUCCACUCACUCUCCUUUCUAAUUAAUUUUUAACGUUUAUUUAGAUUCUUUUCCCUUUUUUUAUGUAACACCCGAAUUUUCUCCCUUCCAUUUAGGGGUGUUACAAUUAAUUUUAAUUAAAAUAAAUUUGUAAUCUAUACAAUA